CUGGACAGCCCUUCCCAGAUGGCAGGACUCCAGGCCUCCCACCUCUUGGUACGUGAGACAGCACAGAAUGCUGGGGGCCCUGCCCUCUUUCACCUCACCCAGGCUAUCAAUCGCUACUUCACUAGGUCUCUCUGUGAAUGGUUCUUGAACCUGGAAUCCAAGCCUCCUUCCCAUGUUCCUGUCCUUCUUCUGGGGGGACCUAGCCUCCUGAUGGUGUCUUCUCUUAGGAGACCAGAGACCUUACUAGAGAAGUCUGAGUCUGUUGCUGGCCCCUCUGCAGGCAUCUUGGACACAUCUCCACAGUUCAUACUCCUGGCCUGACUACCGUUUUCACAUCAUAGUCUUGCCUCACGCUGAGCAGAGCACUAUCCUGCUUCCUGCUCCUUAUGCAGAUUCCUUGGCACUGUGGCUGGAAUAGCUUAGUCCUGGGAACCUGACUGGAAGGACAAGGAAAUGAAGAAAGGACAGACACGUGUACAGAAAAGCUGGGGUCAGGAGUACCAUGCUUGCUCUGAUGGAACAGCACCAGCUACACAAUACCCUGGACCAUCGGUGUGUUUAUUAUGCAUAGCAGGAAGAGCGGUUAACUAGUCUCAGUAGGAGGACUUAGUAGGGGAGCUGUCUCAGCUUGUAGUUAUCUGAGAGGAGGAAGCUUGAUCAUAAAUACUCAUACUGGAAGCAGAGGAAGGUUUUGUCAUACCUCACAGGGAUGAAGAGGAAGGCUUGGCUAUUCCCAUUGGUCUGAGGCACUAAUGGUUCUUGAUAAGGCAGAACCCAAGUCAACAAUACACAUUCACUCAGUAUUUCACCUGCUUCUACAGCUUGGGUCACGUGUGUGUGUGUGUGUGUGUGUGUGUGUGUGUGUGUGUGUGUGUGUGUGUACAUGUUCAUGUAUGAGCAUUGUAUGUGUGUGUGUGCACACACACUCAUAAGUGUUCAUGUGGAGGCCUGAACAUAUGGGCUUAAACUAGAUCCAGUGCUUAUAAACCAUGUAUCUUCUCUCCAUCACUGGGUCUAGCCUUCUGGCCUCAGCCUGCCCACAUCAAUGCUGGAUGGUCAUAAUUCCUUUAUUGUGACCUUGUGAGAGGUCAUAUAUGCUGGAGGUGAUGUUAAUACAGCUGAUAUAGCACCUGGCCCAGGAAAGAUACAGCAGGGCCACAUGGGGCUUGGAUAGAAGCUUUUCUGAGGCCAGGAGGUAGGGCUAGAGCUGGAUUCUAAAUCAUAGGACUGUGAUUCGAGGAACCGCAGGGAGAGCAAAAGAAGACAGGACAGUAUCCUGUGUUUGUGGCCACAAGCAGAAGCCAGGUGCUGAGAGCUGUUUGCAGCAGAGCUUGGAGCUGUUACAUUCUCAGUUGUGUUCCAUCAGAGCCCUGCAAGAAUUCAAUGUUGUCUGAACAGCAGCCAUGUCAAGGUCUCCCGCCCUUGUGCCAGCCCCUUCUCUCCACUCCCAAAGGGAUUCCCAAGGUUCCCUGAACAACAUAAACCUUGGGCCCUUCAGGCAGGUGUCAGCCACAGGAGUGGUGGGUUUACAAGUGCUACAUCGUGGAAACUGUUCUGUGCCAACUGUUGGUGGCUUUUUCUCUGCUAGCUCUGCAAAGGGAGGGCUGAGACUGCUCUGACGAGGCAGGGAGAGAGAAGACAGGACUUCACGCUCCCGGCUGGGCUGAUUUCUUCUCAACCAUCAGCAAUCAAAUCCGCAUCACCACUGUGAGAAUUAAUUCCUCCUCAAGCUCCCCUUCAGAGAGCAGAGAGCGCCCCGCUGAUGUGACUCUCCCUGGCCUCCAUCUUGCUGAGGAGCACUGGUUCACAAAGAAAGGUUAAUGUUGAAAACCUCCACAGAAUGUUCACAUGGGAAGCCAGUGGUCAGGACCAAAACUCUUGGUAACACCCAGUGUGGGGAGACAGCUGGUUGUGUCUCGCUGAUGGCCUUGGAAACCCUUCAGCUCCAAAGGGGAGACCUAGCAAUUGCUACUGACUUUACACAUGCUGUUGUCUUGAUGAUACAACCUCUAAGCACUCUUCCCCCAACACGAGAAAGGAUACAUUUUUCAGGUGAUACAGGAACUGAGGGCUUCUGCUUCCAUGAAGGUUCAUGAGGACCCAUGGAAAGUGAUAUUGGAACUAUCUGGGGAGAGGUAGAAAAAAAGAAGGGGGAAAAAGAAAAAAACCCUCAGUGAUGAUUUUUAGCUUCGGUCAAGUUGACAGAAAACUAUCCAGCACACCUAGAAUCCACUAAGUUCGGGAUUGGACACCAUGUUUUGAUGGAGCUUGUUUUAGUAUGGAAGAGGGAGACUAUAGAGCCCGUGUGUCUAAUAGGAAGAAGAGUGAAACAGCUGUGAGCAGGGGCCAAAGCUCCAGGACACAUCAACACCGACAUCCCUCCAAGAAGACCCCAUGUCCCAACAAUCUAUGGAUAGUUACAAUUCAUCAACAGAUCAAACCAUGAAGCCAGGGAGCCUUUAUGAUCUGAGUGUCUUCAGAAACAUUCUCCAGGCACAGCCCAGUGAGUGUGUGCUCUACUCACCUCCAGCAAUAGAAACCCUAACCAAGACAGUAUAGAAAAUGCUUUUGGCUCCUGGCACUUGAAUUCUCUCUUGUACUCUUCAAUGCUACUGUAGAUGGAAGAUGAACAAGAGAAAUGAUGUGGGGAAGGAAAUGAGGCUUCCUAAAGCCAUGAGGUAGCCCCUGCGUAGUGGAUUGGGGGCAGGAGCUGAAGGCCCACCCAAGGGCCUGUCCCAGAGAAGCACGUACAGUCAGAGGAAACAGCCAUUGGUUUCCUUGACUCUGAAAGGCUCUCUCACUGAGCUCAGUGACUGAACUAGACUGGCUGGAGCCCAGCAAGCCACAGAGACUCUCCUGUCUCCACCACACCUUUCUGCUUGGAUUACAGGCACACACCGUCACACCUGGCUACAGGCGUCCAUGGUCACACCUGGCUUUCUACCUUGGCUCUGGGUCUGCAGCAAUUUCAGCUGAAUCCUAUUUCUCAUUUCUAAGGAGUUCAGCUGAGAAUCCAAAAAAAAAAAAGAGAUUAUUUUAAACAUACAGUUCCAAGAAGAAAGGCUGGCAUGCUGAUGCUGAUUGGUGCCUGGACUGCCUAAGAAGGCCCUUGGGCUCUCUGGGCUUCUCUUAUUUUCCACUUUUCUCCAUGGGUGGCCCGGUUUCUGAAUGUAUGCCCAGCUUGGACCUUACAUUUCUGCAUGAACCAAAGCAAGGGCUUAGAAAAGGAUGUCUGAAGGCCUUUCCUGCUCUAUCACCCACAUCUCCUAUGGUAUGGUGACCACAGCUGACCGCUGAGGAGGCCAGAUGAGGGCGAUGUGAUAUGCCAGCACGCUCAGGUUUGUUCUUCUGGCUGGAGAAAUCAGGGAGACUUCCCAGAGGAGGUGAUGUUCAUAUCAGCCACCGACGGGGACUAUGAGACCAUAAGGAAAAGGCAAAUAAAAUAGCCUGAAUGUUCAUCUUCCAUAAGAGCAGAGCGCUGGUUGAACUGUCUUCAGUGCUGUCUAAGAGGAGGCAUGGCCUCUCUGCUGUCAGAGAUGCUCAGGCUGCACACAGCUUAGGCAGGCUGCAAAGCUCUGAGACCUUCAGCCCUGCUAGCUGUGAGUCACUGGCAACCGCUGAUCCACAGCUAUGUUCGACCUACAAAGCUAGCAAUCUCAGAUGUUCCACUCUAAUCGCCUCUCUGUGACUCCGUAAAUGGGGUUAAUAGCGGUACCGCUCUCCCAGGAUUGCAGAGAGAAAAACAUAACCACAGCAAGGAAAUCAAGUCCAGACUUGUAACCUUCAUCUACGUCUAUAGUGGCGUCACCAAAUGCAGACUUGGUAAAAGAUACUUGGUGGCCACCACUGCAUGGUGUUUCCACCAGGCAGACGCUAUUGACGGGAACAACCCUGAAGAGUGGGCAACAAUGAGACACAGAGAUAAUGGGGACGCGAGGAGUUCUGAAGCUUGAGUGUCAGAAGUCAAGGCCCAGGCAGAUGGAUUUUUCCUGCUUGAACCUGUUCUUAGGACGAGAGUCCUGUAUCCAGACAGCCAGCAGGACCUUAGCACGAGGGAGCUGGGCUUUCUCUUCUUCAGCCGAGACAGAGAAGAGGCUGAAAAGAAGGAAGAGAAGCAAGAGAGGGAAAGAAAACGUAUCCUUUGGUGAAUCCUCAAAACUCUGGGAGGCUAACAGCUAAAAACAAACCAAACAAACAAACAAAAAACUAACCAAACAACUGCUUGAGACUUGUUGGAGACUUUGCACUUUUGAAAAGUGUUGGGUCUGUUGAGGUUAUGGGGACUCUUCUGUUUAGAGCAGAUAUAUUUUGUGUUGUUCAAUAGCUAUGAGCUGAUGGGGACCAGGAGCAGAAUACUGUGGCUUGAAUGUGAAGUGUUCCUCACAAGCUCCUGUUUUGUGUUGCUAGUUAGCACUGCACUGGGAGACUGUGGAGCGUUUGAGACAGCCGGCAGACAUAAGACACUAGGCCUUUAGGGUUAUAACCCAGCCUUGUUUCUGGUCCGACUUCUUCCUAAUCUGCCAAACGUGAGACUUGGCAGCUGUAAGUGCUGGCCAACUCAGACCAAACCACUCCGCCAUGACAUUCUGAGAGCCGGAGCCAAAGCAAACCUCUCCAUUUCAUCACAGCGAUGAGAGAAUAACUCACAUACAUGUCUCUGUUAUGAGCCCCUUCUCUAGAGUGCUUUCUCUGAGUUGCAACGUAGCCUGGGGAAAAUUCUAGAGGGCCAGUUGUGACAGUUUGAAGAUCUACUUCCCUUUGGGAAAUUACAAAGGUUUAAGGACAGUGGUGAAAUGUCUUGACUCAAAUGCUUAAUCCCACUGCUUCCUCCGUGGAAAAUGGCUGAGAUGUGCAAGAGGCAAAGAAACACCCAUGGAGUACCCACUCAACGCCAGGAGGCUGACCUCCACAAUGUACUUGAUCUUCACUGCACUUGGCCAAAAGUGGAAGCAUCAUCUCGUUACAGAGCUGAGGGAAUUGGGUCAGAAAGGAUCGGGGCGUGUCCACAGAGCAAGCAAAUGGAUGUGGGAUACUCUGUCUCAGGAUCUUACUGCCUGCGGCAAGCUAUGACACCAAGCGAAUCCGAACAUGAUGAAUUGUAGACUCUUGAAUUCUGCCUGAAUUCUUACUGCCUUCGAGUGUCUCAUGGAGAUCGCUUCCUCUUGCUGCCAGCCGGGACACAGUGGCAGACUUGCAUAGGAAAAUACCCAGCCUGGCUGCCUGCAGCUAACAAGCCAGCCGCCAUUUAAAUUUCAAUCAGCCCCUCUGUUUGUGUGUGAGUUUCUUGGAUGGAUGAAAUUAGCAAUUUUGAAAAAUUGAUUAAAAUUGCUGGUUUCACGAAGCCUCAAAACACCAAAAUCAAUCCUUUUUUUUUUUUAAUUUCAAAUUCUCAUUGAAUCAGUCACGUUUGCACUAUGAGAAGCAGUGAGCGAGAAGCUGGCAUAAGGAGGGGCCUAAGGUCUGGGUGGGCCAGGGACCAGUUGUUUGGGGUUUUUUGUUUUGUUGUUUUUAGUUUUGAUUUGUUUGUUUGUCUCUUGAACAGUCAGCGUGACCUUCUGUGUUUGCAUUGUUCUUCUCUCUCUUCCUCUCUUUCUUUCUUUCUCUCUCUCUCUGGAAUAAAGGAGCUUGACUACAUAAGGUGUUUCUAGAAGGCUCUUCUCCAUGUAUAACUGUGAGUUCUAAAUCAAGUUUUAAAACAUGGAUGGCUCUUAGCAGGUGGAACCUGUGUUCAGAUGAGGUUAGGAAUAUUAACAGUAGAGGCCAUUGUGCUCCUACUUUAGUACUGAACCAAGCUGUUUGUUGUUUACAGCCGUUCUGUCCCGUCAGGAAGGGCUCUGAGAAAAAUACACUGGCUUCCAUUUUUAGCUGUAGAAAUGGAAGCUUAUAUCCUCCCCCAAUCCGGAUGACUAGUGCCAGGUACAGAGCGUUCUGAGCCGCCCAGCAGAGGGCAAUCUGAGGGCUUGCAGUGGCGCUGGGGUGUCUUAUGUAUGUGGUGUGUGUAUAUGACAUCCUGACUCCAACAGUGGCAGUUGGUAUGGAAGCAUCCUGGGUCCUCUCUUCUCUGUGAACUCUGAGCUAUAAUCUUGCAAGCUGUGCAGAGCUGAGUGAGAGGAGGAAAGUCAUCACAAAAGGCAGAGCUGGCUUAUGCUCUCCAUACCAUAGAGACCUGCUCAAGAGCACACACCCUCGGUCCUGACUGGCCUACACUCAGUGAAACUGUCCUUAGUGGUUGGUGUAAGGAAAAUGAAGACUGUCCUCUGCUGUGGGCAGCAGUACAAUCCCCCUGCCUCUUCCGGCCUUUAUGUGUCCCCAAGGAGAAGAACGAAGGCUGCCCAUCUCCGAGAACAAGGCCGCCCUGCUCUUUCUCCUUCAGUCCCAGUGAGAUGAGUGUCAUAGUCACUUCUGUCUUUCACAGGCCCCUAAGGCACAGCUGCCAACAGCCCUUAAUCACAAGAACCCCUACAGCUUCCUCUUUAAGAAGCAGAGGCCCAGAUGGACCUUUGUGAACUGGAGCCAGUUCCAGAAGCCCUGGUCCUCUCAGCACACUGGAAGUACAAAUUUGAGCAAGAUCCCUGCCCUCCAGUGUGUGGCCAGAUGGCCAGCGGGCUGCCGGAGGAAGCUGUGUUCACAGUUUUGUACAGGAGUCAGUAGGAAAGGGCAGAGGUGCCGUGGGUAA